GCCUCUGUAGCUCAGUGGCAGAGCACUGGUCUUCUAAAUCCGGGGUCGUGAGUUCAAUCCUCAUAGAAGGCA